UUCCAGAUCCUAAAACGCAGAGUUUAGGCGCGGGCUAAAUUGCAAUAGCACACAGAUUUUAGGAAAAUUUAAAAAACAAAUAAACACAAAUAGGAUCCAAUUGAAAAUCAGCGCGAAGGGGAGGGAUCAAUCGUACAAAUUAACCAUCUGCAGCAAAUAACCAAACAUUUCCCCUUGAAACGGCGUUGUUUCUUCCCUUUUAUAAAACCAAACAUUUCCUUCAAAAAAAAAGAAAACAAUCGGCCCCUUUUAAAAUAACCCUAGCCCCUUUUAUUUCCCCACAGUUUUCUCCUCUUUUGGUCCUCUGUUCGGCCAAGUUUGGUGCACUUACCACCACAAUGAAUCAAAAAGAAAGCCUCGAUCCCGAUCGGAUUUGGUUUUAACGAAGGAGAACCCCGACGUCCUACCAAUCAAUCAAGUGAGUCUCCUUCUUAUCCCUUUUUUUUUUUGGAUGUAACGAGAGGACCUCUCCGUCCAACCACUAAAGCUCCAUUGCAAUCGGCGAAUAGCGCCAAAUCUCAAGACCUCGCCCUUUUAUUCCUAAAAUCCCCUUUGAACUUCGACUUCAACGAAGGAAAAUGGGUUCGUCACAUCAAAAACAAACUAAGAUAAAAGAAAUAUCCAAAAAAUAAAUGUAAUAACAAAUCAAAGAAUAGAAUCACCUUCUAACUUUUUGGAUCUUUUUUUUUAUUUCGUAUUCGUAUUGUGUGUUCGUAAGUUUUUUGCAAGUACAUUUGUCGGCUUUUAUAGCCGAAUUUACCGAGUAAAAUCAAAAAAUAAAAUUACAUUUUAUUACUGUUAUUUGCUGUAGAUUCUGUUAUUCUCCUUCUCAUAUGUUCCAUUUGCAAGAAAGGCCGUACACAAGCACGAGCGGGGACACGCACGAGGGGUUGGUGGCGCACGUGUGGUGCUCAUCCAAAUUGCUGGCUGCUGCGUGAGAGGGAGAACCCUUAGAGCUUCUAGAACAAUCACCUGGACCAGUCUUUGGGUCGUGUAUUGAAUGGGCUGGGACUUUGGGUUAUUUAAUUGGGUUUAGGAUUUAUGCAAUUGGGUUUUAAAAAAUGUAUCUGGGCUGGACUGUAUAUAUAUAUUUUGGGUUAAAUAACUUGUAAAUGGACAUUGACUUAUUCUGGGCUGUUCAUUGUUUUUGUUUUUAUUUUUUGGUUUUUGGUUUUGUAUGGGCCCGAGAGAAUUGGGCCUAUUACAGCUGCCCCUCUUUGCUCAUUAUCGUGUAACGAGAAUAGAGCAAAGACUUCAAAUAGACCAAUUUUGUCUGGUUUUGCUGAAUCUUGACUAUAACUUUUGGGAAAUAGGACUGGUGGCUCAAAUCUGCUCCAUUGCCGAUACAUGGAGAUAAGAUUCACCAUCCUCGAUGUACUCCUCCACUGCUUAGGGAAAUAGAUCUUCAAUCUUCAGUCUGCUUCUUUGCUACCUCAGGAAGAUAAGACUACCAUCUUCAACCUGCUCUCUUGCUACCUCAGAGAGAUAAGGCCGAUGGCUGAAAUCUGCUCCAUUGCCGAUACAUGGAGAUAAGAUUCGCCGUCCUCGAUCUGCUCCACUACUUCUUAAGGAGAUAAGAUCUUCAAUCUUCAGUCUGCUUUCUUGCUACGAUAAGACUACAAUCACCAACCUGCUCUCUUGCUACCUUAAAGAGAUAAGGCUGGUAGCUCAAAUCUACUCCAUUGCCGAUACAUGGAGAUAAGAUUCGCCAUCUUUGAUCUACUCCACUACUGCUUAGGGAGAUAAGAUAUUCAAUCUUCAGUCUGCUUCCUUGCUACCUCAGGAAGAUAAGACUACCAUCUUCAACCUACUCUCUUGUUACCUCAGAGAGAUAAGGCCAGUGGCUAAAAUCUGCUCCAUUGCCUGUACAUGGAGAUACGAUUCGCCAUCUUCGAUCUACUCCGCUACUGCUUAGGGAGAUAAGAUCUUCAAUCUUCAGUCUGCUUCCUUGCUACCUCAAGAAGAUAAGACUAUAUCUUGAACCUGCUCCACUACAACUUCAGGGAGAUAAGGCUAGUGACUUAAAUCUGCUCCAUUACCGGUACAUAGAGAUAAGAUUUGUCGACUUUGACCUACUCCACUGCAACUUCAGGGAAAUAAGAUCUUCAAUCUUCAGUCUGCUUCCUUGCUACCUCAGGAAGAUAAGACUAUCAUCUUCAACCUGCUCUCUUGCUACCUCAGAGAGAUAAGGUCAGUGGCUAAAAUCUGCUCCAUUGCCGAUACAUGGAGAUAAGAUUCACCAUCUUCGAUCUGCUCCGCUACUGCUUAAGGGAUAAGAUCUUUCAAUCUUCAGUCUGCUUUCUUGCUAUGUCAGAAAGAUAAGACUAUAUCUUGAACCUGCUCCACUGCAACUUUAGGGAGAUAAGGCUGGUGACUUAAAUCUGCUCCAUUGCCUGUACAUGGAGAUAAGAUUCGUCGCCUUUGGUCUGUUCCACUACUGUUUAGGGAAAUAAGACCUGCAAUCCUCAGUCUAUUCCACUGUAACCUCAGGGAGAUAAGACUUGUCUAUUGAGCCUGCUCCACUACAACUUCAGGGAGAUAAGGUUUGUAAUCUUCGAUCUAUUCCGCUGCAACUUCAGGGAUAUAAGAUCUGACUUCACCGAUGUUACUACACCGUCCUCUGGGGCAUGUCUUGUAAACUCGGCUUCAUGUAUCUAUGCUUAUGCCAAAUAAUUAGGAUGCUAUGAUCAAAAUGAAUCAAAUGCUCCUAACUAAAUAUGAUGCUUAUGUCAAAUAAUUAGGAUGUUAUGAUCGAAAUGAAUCAAAUGCUUCUAACUAGAUGUGAUGCUUAUGUCAAAUAAUUAGGAUGCUAUGAUCGAAAUGAAUCAAAUGCUUCUAACUAGAUGUGAUACUUAUGUCAAAUAAUUAAGAUGCUAUGAUCGAAAUGAAUCAAAUGCUCCUAACUAGAUGUGAUGCUCAUGUCAAAUAAUUAGGAUGUUAUGAUAGAAAUGAAUCGAAUGCUCCUAACUAGAUGUGAUGCUCAUGUCAAAUAAUUAGAAUGCUAUGAUCGAAAUGAAUCAAAUGCUCUUAACUAGAUGUGAUGCUCAUGUCAAAUAAUUAGGAUGCUAUGAUCGAAAUGAAUCAAAUGCUCCUAACUAGAUGUAUUAUGAAUGAUAUAUGAAUGCAAAAAAUGAGAAUGAUCUUUUUAAAUGAAUGAUUUUUUUUUAAAAAAAUGCUUAAGGUGUUAUCGCUCGUUGUUCACCAGGGCACUAUCACUGAUUUGUUAUGCUGCCAUAUUGUUCGGCAGGUAAUCUUGACAGAAAACCCAAAGAAACAAUCAAAUUCUGCUCAGCAAGCUUGCCCCGCUGUAAUUUCAGUGUCCCUUACACUGUAACUUCUGGGAUAUAAAGUUUGAACCUUCCACUGCAACUUUAGGGGAAUAAUCAUUUGAUUUCUUCUAUCCAUCCUGUUGCAACUCAGGGAUAUAGGAUUUGCAUCAUCUUUAAUCAAUUUGAUCUGUUACACCACUCCCUGGGUGUAAUGAACAGAUGUAUAUGCCUAAUAUCUACAUGAAUAUAGAAUACCAUUUUCCUUUUCUCGAGAAUAACCCCAUUACUCGCUUUUUGCCAGGAUUAUAACACCAAUGCGAUUUUCUUUUUGCUCAAUCAAUAUUUUUGACCGAAAUUCCAAAGAGAUAAUCUCAAUUUGGGCUUAAAAAGUCCCAACCCCUAGGCUUGGUGGGUUUUAAACAAUUGUCCUAUUUUAGGCUCCUGCAUUAUUUAGAAACUCCCCAAAGUAAUAUAGAAAACUCCCUUUAUGAAAGUAUUAUUAGCCCAAAAAUCAUUAUCUCAAUGCAAAAUGCUUGAAAAAGAUCAUAGCCAUGGACAAGAAAGGAAUUAAUUGAGAACAUAGCUCGAAACAAAUAAGAAAAUGUAACCAAGAAAGAAAUUUAUUGGGACGUAACCUAAAAAGAAUAAGGUAAUCAAAGAUAACCAAAAAAUGAGUAAAAAUGGAAACCUCUUCACUGUACUAACUUCUUGAGGACCAUUCUGAGCUCAAUCUGUGUUUAGGGGAUCCGAAGUACUUUGUCGAUGCCCCAAGACGUAACAUACUUCUUUCAUUGUUAAUUCAGGCAUAGCAAGACUACUAUAUGCCCUAUUUUGAUCCAAAUUUAAGCCGCCCUUUUCGGGUUUUCAACUCAAAUCCCCUUUGGUCUCAAAGCGCCCUUUGCGGGUUUUCGCCUUGGCCUCUCCUUUUAAUUUUAAUUUUAAUUUUAAUUUUAAUUUUUAUUAUUUUUUAAUUUUUCUUUUUUUUAUUUUUCUUUUUUAUUUCAAUCUCUCUUUUUUUUUUAAGGUCUCAAGGCGCCCUUUGCGGGUUUUCACCUUGGCCUUUCCCAUUUUAGGUAGAAUACCAUUCGACUGUAUUUUGAAUUCCCUAAACUGGGCAAAUCCUUUCGGUCAAUAUCAAUGCUCCACCAAAACAGACCUUCUUUACUACAUAAAGUCCCUCUUAGCUUGGCAUAUUUCUUCUUUUGAAGUCCUUUUAUAUAGGAAGGAUCUUCUUCAAUAUCAAGUUCCCUCAUGGAAUUUUCAUAUCAUUCAUUUCUAGUGUAUUGGACCACGACAGAAUCUCCUCUCUUCAAAUUCAAUUGUUCAUAUCAAGUUUAGAUCCAUUUUACCUUAUCCAACUUCAACUCUGACAAGAUUAGGAGAAAAAGAACCUCGUCUUCAAAACCAUUUCUAUUCCAUAAACUAAUGAGCAAUGUGUUGCCCCAGCGAAGGUCCUGGCCAACGUUCGAUAAGUAUAGAGGGUAAAUGAUAACUUCUUUAUGCCAAUCUUUACAAGGCUCGGUUGUCUUUCAUUAUGACCUUUAUUUUAUUAUUUUACUGCUUUCCCUUUUUCUUUUUGCUAUUUUUGAACUUUUGUUUUUCUUUGUGGAUGCCUUUGCUGUACGGUAAUAUGGUGUCUGAUCUUUGAACAGACUGCAAACUUUUGACAUUGUGCAGUUGUAUUAGAAAUGAUCCUUUCUGACAUUACUUGUCAGUAAUUUUAUUUUUUGAGAUUUGAUGACUGUCGACCUUGUAAUAUUGGCAUAUGAAGCGACAUUCACCCUCUUUGUGAAGUAAUCAAUGGUUGCCAAGAUGUAUAUUAGGCGAGAAUGGCCUAAUAACAUACAUGCCCCAUAUAGAGAAAGUUUGUGAAGAAAUGAAUGAGGCUUGUCCCCUUAAAUACAACUUAACUAAUGUAAUCCCCUUUCCAUGGUAGAUCAACAAUACCCAAACCUCAUGAUUAGUGUGGCUACCGUGAAACCAUUAACAUAUGUCCAUCUGGCACCGUAUAGACAUUGCAUCGUCCACAGAUCUUAAUAUCUCAAGUAUAUCUCGACAUGAUCAUGCGAAAACAUCUUUGAAUUCUUGGAGUAACUCAAUAACGAUUCAUUUUGUCUUUGUGAUAACUCAAUUUUCGAUCUUUGUCCCCUUGCUCACAAUGUCCAUUGAUCCUUCGUAAAGUAGGAUCUAUUUUUCAUCUCGUUCUACCGUCCUUAACAAUUCAGGAAAUAAGUCACAAUCUCUGUCAUCUUCAAAGUUCUGAGAUCCGCUUAAACACAUAUCUCACACAAAAGGAGUUAGUUACAGCGUUGCUCAUGUCGUUGAUAUCUGGGCACCUAUUGUAGGUACAAAGGCAAAUUCCAAAGAAUAAAUGAUUCUAAAGAUAAUUAUAAGUAUGGUAUGAUUCUAAGAAGAAUGAAAGUAUAUUUAAAAAAAAUAGUCCAAAGAACGAAAGAAUAUAAAAAGAACGAAAGAAUAUUUACUCAAAAGGAAUGAAAGAAUAUUUACUAAAAAAGAAUGCAUUUCAUUGAAAUAAAAAUUUUUGGACACAAACCUAUUUCACAAAAGGAUUCUUAUUGCCCCUAGGCUUAAAGCAACAAGCGUGUUUUCAAUAUUACUCUAAAUCAGCUCUAAAAAUACAAGGAUCUCUUCCACAGUCCCAUUGUUUAAAACAUCCCUAAGUACGUAAGGGUUUGGAAACUUUUAUGGCAUGCUUAUGAUGUUCACUUCAUUUUUCUCAUUUCUCGGGGUUAACCUUUUGGCGCUUUCUGUAAUAGCCCAAAAUUGGGUCUAGUUGGAACAGAGGUUUCGAGACCACAAAAUCUGAGAUAUAAAUAAUUAUUUUAUGAUUAUUUUGAGGUCUAUGAUAUGAUUGCAUGAUUGUGUGAGAAUUUCGUGAAGAAAUUCUAUGCAUAAAGUGCUUAAUUCGAAGUUAGGGACUAAAUUGAAUAAGUUGCAAAACUUGUAUUCUAGAAGUUUCUAGUAUGAAAUUGAUUUGAAAUAUUAAUUAGGAGGUCUUAAAUAGCAAUUUGACCAAUUUCUAAGUUAUGGACAAAAAUUGGACAUGGAUGGAAUUUUUGGAAAGUUUAGUAGUAAGGGUAUUUUGGUCAUUUAGGGGUAAAAUGAAUUAAAAUACAAAAUUAAAAGCCAAUUUUGCUCAUCUUCUUCACCAUGGACGUGUAUACCAAGGGAGACUCCAUGGGUAGGAUUUUCAAGCUUCCCAAGCUCAAUUAUCCCAGAAAACGAGAUUUGAACCUAGAAUGAGAAAAAAAUCGAAAAUUGGGAAAGUUGGUAAAAUGGCCGUUUUAAUAUCAAGGUAAGUUCAUAUGUAUAAUAAGCAUUAAUUUAUGCAUGUUUCAAUGUAAAAUUGAUAUAUUUACUAUGAUCUCCGAGGUGUUGAAAGUAUGUAAGUUGGUAUGAUAAUAAUACAACAAUAAUGCUGUAAUUUAUAUUUGAAAGUUAAAUUUAGUGAAUUAAUUGAAUUAUGUUAAAUUAAAUGAUUAUGGUGCCAAGUUUAUGAAUUGAUUUAAAAAUAUGUCUAUGGUACAUGAAGUGCAUUGAAUUAUCAUACAUAAAUGUGAUUUCUAUGAUUAUGGAUAUUAUGGGAAAUUGUAAGUUCAUAUGAUUUUUAAUAAGACAAUGUGUAAUUUAACGUUAUUGCGUUGAUAUUAAAUGAGAUGUAAGUUUAUAUGUAAGUAAUACAUCACUAUUACUUGUAUUGCGAUAUUUUAUAAAAAUAUUGGAAAUAUGUUUGUGGAUAAUUACUUGAUUGGUGAAAUUGUUGAAAAAGAGAGAGAAAUCCCGGUUGAACCUUCGGAAAGAUUGGAUGAUACAGAUGGUAUGUAGCUAGGUCACAUGUAUAGUGCUGAGUGCACAUCAUGUGUACAAGAGAGCUACAAGACAUUAUGAUGUAGCUUGGUCGCAUGGGUGAUACUAUGUGUACACCAUGUAGACAAGAGAGCUAUGGGAUAUAUGUAGCUAGGUCGCAUGCGUGGUUCCAAGUGAAGGACACCAUGUAGACAAGAGAGCUACGAGAUAAACUGGCUAGGUCACAUGGGUGGUACUAAGUGUUCACCAUGUGUACAAGAGAGCCGAACUAUAUGAUGGGUGGAGCUAUAUGCUGAAACCACCAAGUAUCGAGGAUUGAUCCGAAGUGUUCAACGGGAGACUCUCUAUGUAUUGCUUUGUGAGUUUUGUGAUGAAUAAGUGCAGGAACUUGGUUAUGUGAAUGAUGUGUUCAUUAAGAGACCAGGAUGUGGUAAGGUUAUAAACAAGUAAGUUAUACAUGAGGAUGAUUUUAUGGUGACCUUGUGAUCAUGGGCCUAUACUUGUGAUGUAUGAAAUGUGGUGAAAAUGAUUUGUGAUAUGUAUGUUAAAAUGAGGUUAAUACAAAGAAAGUGUGAAAGAGUGAAUUAGCAAUAAAACUGUUUUGGACAAUAGCAGCGACGUGAUUUUGAAAAAUCACCAAAAAUAGUAUAAAUUGAAUCAGAGACUGAAUGAGAUAUAAAAUUAGAGCUUAAUGAGUCUAUUUUCAUAUAAAAGAAACAUACAAAGCAAAGGAGUUCUAUAUUUUGAUAUAUUUAUGUUUUUGUGAGACUGAUUCAGAAUGAUUACGUGAUCCCCUGUUCUAACUUUGGAAAAUCACAAAAAUUUGGAGAAAAAUAAUUAGAGGCUCAAAAUUAUAUUUUUAAAAUCCAUAAUGAGUCUAUUUUCAAGAUAAAUCAACAAGAACAUUAUCUGAGUUCUGUACUGUGAGAUAAUUAUUUUUUAGUGAAGAGAGGUCAGAACUGUCAGAAAAUGAAACAGGGGAAAUUUUAAUGAAUAAACUGUACUAAUUGGCUAAACCAAAAAUUAUGAAAAUUUUAUGGUGGAAAGAUAUGUGAGGCUAGUUUCAGGGGAAAUUUACGGAUCUUAAUUUUGAGCUCUGUAGCUCGAAUUAUAAAUAAUUAAGUGACUAUGACUCGUGUGGAGAGUUUGAUAUGAACAUUUAUUAGUAAAUUGUGAAAUCGUACUUACAAGAAUGCUAUAUACAUUAAGGAUGUGGAAUAGAGAGGAGGAGGAGGAAAAUAAAUAUAUGUGGAAUACAUGGAAACUAUGGUAUAUGAAAUAUUGAUAUAAUGAAAUAAAUGAUAUGUGUUUAUAAGAAAACAAAAAGAGAAUGUUAUGUAUCAUGACAUGUAUAUAUAUAUAUGACUAGUCUCAAUGUAAUGCUUGUUGGGUAUGGAAUUGAAUUGAAAUGUUUCAGGCAAACAUGUUAUUCUACGCAUCUGAAUCGUGGUAUUUUAUAAAGAUAUGAUCUAGCUUUAAAUAUGAAUGCUUGAUGAUUAAGCUGAAGAUAUUUGGUAAGAUGAUAAUCUUGGUAUAAAUGUAUAAGUGGUACUAUAAUAAACAAGGUAAAAUGAGUAUGAGAGACACAUGUAUGAUGACAUACAAAUGCUAUGUUUGUAGUUUAAUUGAGGAUUUAUAAUCAUUACAUGAAUACCAUGUUAUAUGUUUUUGAUUUUGUAUAAGUGUGUAAGAGAUCAAGGUUGACCAAAGCUUAGAAAAUAGCCUAGGUAUAUUCCACACAGGCAAAGACACGAUCAUGUGUCUCAGCCGUGUAUGGAACACGACUUUGGGACGCGGGCGUGUGGAGCCUUAAAGCAUGAAGUUUCCAAGAUAUUCGUAAGUUCUCGGUUUAGUCCCAAACCCUUUCUAAAGUAUGUUUUGGGCUCCGUAGACUCAAAUAAGGGAAUAUGUGUAAGAGAAUGAACGCUUUGAAAUAUGAAUAAAAUUUUGUGGCUCGUAUUUUAGUUUAAUGUUUGUAUGUUUGUCUGGUAACGCCUCGUACCUUAGAUCGGCCUCGGAUACGGGUAAGGGGUGUUACACUUUCUCCCAUAUCUAUCUUUCCAUUUCUUAUUGCAUCUUCAAUCAUCUUACCAGACAUUACUAUAUCUGAAAAGCUCAGAGUAGCGCUUCCCAACAUAUGAUUAAUGAACGGGGCUUCUAGAGUAUUAAUGAAAAGCAUCGUGAUCUCUUUUUCCAAAAGUGGCGGUUGGACUUGUGUUGCUACCUCUUUCCAUCUUUGGGCAUAUUGCCUGAAACUCUCACUUUGCUUCUUUUCCAUAUCCUGCAAGAUAAUUCUGUCAGGUGCCAUGUCUGUUACAUGGCUAUACUACUUCAUAAAAGCUUGUGCUAAAUCUUUCCAUGAAUUAAUUUUAACACGACUUAAAUGAUUGUACCAUUUAGCUGCUGACUCGAUUAGACUGUCUUGGAAGCAAUGGAUUAAUAAUUGAUUGUUACUAACAUAUUCUGCCAUCCUUCGAUAGAAUAUUGUAAUGUGAGCUUCAGGACAACUAGCCCCAUUGUACUUUUCAAACUCUGGAGUUUUAAAUUUCGGCGGGAGUACUAGAUCGGGGACCAAACUCAGAUCCUUGGCGUCAAUCCCACAAUAGAAGUCAACGCUCUCCAUUGCCUUCAAUUUUUCCUCCAAUCACCUAUACCGAUCCUCAAGUUGCCUUGGAAAUUCCCUCUUUGCUUUUUCCAUUUCAUCCAGAUCAGGAACUUCAAGAUUGGUUAAGUUGCCCCUCGGAUUGGAGCCUAAGCCUAUUGAGUAAUCCACUGGUGCAGAAGUACCAGCCUGAUAUUGCUGAGUUUUGAUAAUAGGUGCAUUUUGCGACAUGUCUAAACAUUUGUUGAGAUGAAACCUGGAGGAUAGAGAAGUUCCUUAUUGUCCUUCCCAGUAUUGAUCAUAGAGAUUUUACCUUUUUCUAGCCCCUUAGCCAGCAAUGGGACAGCUGAUUCAUCAUAUUCCUUCGAGACUCUAGUACUUGGUCUCUCAUAUCUUGUCGGAUCUUUGUCAGUUGCUCUUGCAUUUGCAUUUGUAACUGAUCUUGCAUCUCUCUUUGAAGUUGUUCAAGUCUUUCCAAUCUUUGGUCCAUAUCUUUUGUCUUAGCACGGGUACCGUAACGACGCUUGGUUGGUAAGUUUUUAUCGGUUCCUAGAUUAACUGAAAUGAUUUCAACUAAUUAGGGACCCUUUUAUGAAAAUCUAAUGCAAAUGAUGCAAUGAUGCAAUGCAAUCCAAAUGUAUGAGAUGAAUGCAAUGUAGUUAUAAACAAAACAAAAACAAAACACGUUAGUACAUGUGAAAUAAAUAUCAAAUAAAGUACUUAUUCAGGUGACCACUAAAUUUGGGCAAGGUUCUACUUAAGGUGGAUUCUCAAGGUUCACUAUAUGUAGCUUGGUUCUAGAGAAAAGGUACCUGAACCAGCAAAUUCCUCAAUUCUCACCCAUUAUAGGCUCAUAUGAAUCGAGUUUGGUUUAGGGGAACACAUUUCCCUAUGACCAUGUGGAAAUAAAAAUCUCACGAAAUCAUAGGUACGGAUGUAUCCCGGAAGCAAUCCACUAGCCCAUGCGAAGGUGAAAACCUCAUGAAAGCAUAGUUUCUAACCUCACGAAAGCAUAGUUUCUUACUCCCACUUAACAGGUAUAACCAUAGCGGUCAUGCAAUACAAUGUAGUACUAUUCCACAAGACCACAACAAUCAUACAAACAAAUGCAAUCAAAAGAAACAUAAUUUCCAAAACCAAUUGUCAAAAGGACAAAAGGACAACAAAUAAUCAAUUUAUGGCCUGAAUCUCUUGUUCAAUCCCCAGUGGAGUCGCCAAGCUGUCGAAACCAUUUUUUACUUGGAAAAAAACGGGAAUCAACUUUAAAACGAGUGGAGUCGCCACCAAUCCUUUUGUUUAGGUGUGAUUGGAUCACCUAAUAAAACAUUUCAUUUAAAUCAAUUUUGGCCUAUGUAAAUUUUUAAAAAAAGACGAGUUCGGGAGUCGGUUACGUAUGAGGAAGGAUUAGCACCCUCACUACGCUCAAAAUUGAUACCAAAUUGAUUAAAUACUGUCCUUAUGUCUAAAAUUUAAAAAGAUUUUGGAAUAUGGCUCUUAUUAAAACACUUAAGCGGUUCAAGGUGGUCAUCAAAAUUCUUUCGUUUUAAAGGUAUGCAGCUUCAUACCCAGCACGAUUGGACACGAUCCUUUAUACCUUCAAAAAUACGAUUGAUUUUCGAUUUUUAAAAGCUCAUAUGCUAAAAAUUAUAAAAGGGAAUCCAAAUAUUUAGUCCAACGAAAAAUCAUACCUAGCACGAUAAGGCACGAUUUCCCGAAUUUCUAAAUAUUGAAUAUUGCCUUAUUUGAAAAAUUUUAAAUAAACCAUUGCGAACUAGCUCAAAUCGUUUUAAUUUUAUUUGAAAUAAAAGGGAAUAAUUGAUUUUAAAAUGUCGAAAACUAUAAUGCAACAUUUGUAUACUAGAAGGAAAAAAAUAAAAAAAACAUGGGAUAAUAUACAUGCAUAGGGUACAAUACUUAAUGACUGAGGAUAAUAUAACCCUAUGUAGCCAAUUGAAUCAAACAAUUAAAUAUAGCAAAUCUAAGAAAAAUAUAACCUACUUUCCAAGUAUGGAUGGAGGACAAUUGAUAUACAUAUAAAAAAAUAAUGUACAACAAUAAUAUAUAACCUAAUGUAACACUAUCAAUAAAAUAUACAAAACAAAAUGGAAAUUAAAAACCAAUAUGGUAUGAGGCAAUUUUAAAAUAAUGAUGAAUUGAUGAGCGAAUAAUAUAAUAUAUGGAUUGAUGAAUUGAUGAAUUUAAAACUAUUUGUAAAAAAAAAAAACUAGAGAUAUAUACGUAAUUGUUAAAAUAUGUGUUAUGAAAUGAAUAUUUUUUUUUAAAAUUAAAUAAUAUACAAAGUAUUAAAAACAUUGAUUAAAAUACAUACACUAAAGGAGAAUUUAAUAAUAUAAAAUAUGAGAGAAAAACAAGAAUACAUAAUAAAAUAUAAUUUUAAGAAAUAAUAGGUUUACAAAAUAUAUGCAUACAUAAAUAGAUUUAAAAGUAAUUAUUUGUAAAAAAAGAGAGCAUGAUAUUAAUAAUUAUAAGAUUAAAUUAAUUUUAUCAUAAAUUAUAAAUGUACAAAUAUAUAUAAAAGCCUUUAAAUGUGAUACUAUAUAAAUUAUUAAAAAAAUAAUAUAAUGUAAAGGGGAAUUUCGAAAUAAUAAUUUUAUAAACACAAAAAAUGAAAUUCCUAAAAUAGCUUCAUAUAUACAUAAAAAAUAUUAAGUGAAUUUUAAAACAAUAAGUAUUUUAAAUAGAAAACUCCAUUAAAAUAAUAUAUGUACAAAUACACACAAAAUUAUUAAAAUGAGAUAUUAUAAAAAUAUUUAAAUAAUAUGAAAAAAAAUUUCAAAAUAAUUUAAAAAAACAAAGCAAAAUUAUUAAAAUGAAUAAACACAUAUAAAAAUAUUAAAUGUAUUUGAAAAUAGUAAGUUAUACAAAUAGAAAACUAAAUUAAAAUUGAAUUAAAAUAAGAGAGAUAAUUUAUAAAUAAAAUAAACCAUCAAAACUAAAAAAAAAAAAAGACCAAUGCACAAUGCGCGCGAAUAUGCAGCGAUCAAAAUUGGAAAUAUUCCAGAUCCUAAAACGCAGAGUUUAGGCGCGGGCUAAAUUGCAAUAGCACACAAAUUUUAGGAAAAAUUUAAAAUACAAAUAAACACAAACAAGAUCUGUAACAGGCCUAUUUUACCCGGCCCGAGCCUAAACUAACAAAAAAAACAAAAUCCAAAAAAAAAUAAUAAUAAAAGUCCAUUAUUACAAGGUCUAAAUUACAAAACAGGCUACAGGCCCGAUACCCAAGUUACAAGCAUGGACUCAAAACUCACUACCCAAUUUUGCAAACCCUAAGCCCAGCCCGAAAACUUAACAUUUUCGAAGGAACCCUAGGGUUCCCCUCUCCAGCGCCGCAGCUCCCCCCAUGUGCCUCGAGCGCACCGCCCGCGCCUUGUCCCGAGGCCUGACCCCUUUUGCUCAGCCUUGCACCGAAAUGGCAAGGUCUCUUCUCCAUUGACCAAGCAAAACCUGCAAAGAACACAAAAACAGAAACAAAGCAGAGAAAUGGCAGCAAGCAAAUAGAAGUAACCAAAUAGUAAAAAAGGAGUUUAAUUGGCUAUAAAGCCAGAGGAGAAAAUCAAUUGUAAUGGGGAGGGUUCUUUUUUUUAAAUAAAAAAAUUGUAUUACACAUAUAUUUUCAGAGAAAUCGAAAGCAGAAAAGAAGAAAAAGGUGUUUGCUCUUAUUUUUUUUUAUCUUUUUACUUUCGAUUUUUCUAUUUGUUUUUAUUUUUAUUUAUUUUGCAAAUCUUUUUUAACAAAAAAGGCUUGAAAUAAAUAAAAAAAGGGAGGGGAAAGGGAACUUACCGGAUCGCGUCGCCGAAACUCCUACCUCCAUCGUCGAGUUCGAACUCCAAAGGGAAAGGGGGAAGCCUCCUGAUCUCGAUUGCCCAAGUCUUGAAGACUUGGCCUUCAAAUGCGGCUUAAUCAAGGGCUGAAAAGCCCGUUUGUUGUUCCCACGACCACCGUCCACGGUGGAGGUGUGAAGUGCCGACGGCAGCUCAAAGGCUAGGGUUCAAAACCCUAGCAGAGAAAAAGAGGGGAGGGUUCCAAUUUUUUUAAAAAAAGGCUGAAGGAAUGAAUUUUUUUGUUGAAAAAUUGGCUUUUAUAAGGGGACCAUACGACAUCGUUUUGGGCCCUGGUUUCAAGCACCAAAAUGGCGUCAUUUUGCAUAAAAUGGGUCGACCCGACCCUUAACCAUGGGAUCCGCGUGUUUCUGCAAAAUGGGCUAUUUGGCCUUUCGGUCCUUCCGCCUCUUAAUUACUUCACAAUUCAAUUUUCUUUAUUUUUUAAUUUGGCCCGAUGAUUUCACUUUUAUUUCAUUUUAAUCCUGCAUGAGGUGUAGCGUUUUGAAGGGCGGGGAUAUUUUCCCUUUGGUCCUUCCACUUUGUUCAUGCGUUCAGUGUUAGCCCCUCCCUUUUUUAUUUUUCACGAUUUAUCCCCUUUAACCUUAUUUAGUUUCGAUUCUGUCCUUAUUUGUCAUUUUUCUUAUAAUCUAGGCACUAAAUUUCAUUUCAAAUAUUGAUUUAACCCUUUAUUCAUUUAAUUUCAACCUUUAUAGAUUGUCAUGUUAUGUUUUAUUUGUUUAUUCAUAUAUCUAUGUAUUUAUUUAUUUCUUUAUACGUUCAUUUCAUAUUUUAAAUUUAUAUUGUUAUGUGUUCUGUCAUUCAUAUGUGUCAUUAUUAUAACUAUUAUUAUUUUUAUUACUAUUAUUAUUAUUUUCAUCACUAUUAUUAUUUUUAUUUUAUUAUUAUUAUUACUAUUGUAUUACUACUACUAUUAUUAUUAUAUUGUUUUCCCUUUUUGUAUUUACACAUAAGUUAUUAUUAUUAUAUCAAAUGAGUUAAUAUUAUUAUUUUAAAUACAUUUAUUUUAUAUUAUUAUUAUUAUCAUUAUUAUUAUCAUUAUUUUCAUCUCGUCUUUGCUAUUUUAUUAUUUUUCAUAUGUUAAAAUAUUUCUUACUUAAAAUUAUGUAUAUAUACUUUAUUUAUUUUUAUAUACUUUAUGUAUAUAUACAUAUUAAAGUUCGCAAAGUUAAUGUUUUCUAUAAAUGAUUGUUGAUUCGUAUAUAUUCUUACUAUUAAAUUUUACUCAUAUUUUUGUUUAUCGUUUGCUCCCUUUUAUGUACAUGGUUUCAUUGUCCCAUUUAUUUUAAAAUAUUUUAUGUUGUGUUUGUUUGUUUUUACAUCAUGUAUCUCUGUCUUAUUGCUUUACUUAUUGGUUGAGAUUCGUUUACUAAUAUUGUAUCCACCUUUGUAAUUUUAUCACUGUCAUCAUAACAUUGUAUCACAUAUCGCAUAUCACUUUAAAUGUUGCUUUAAUUUUCACCAAAAUUCAUUAAAGAAAUUCUCUAAUAAAGGCAAUAUUCCGUGUUUGGGAAAUUCGAGAGAUCUUGCCCUAACGUGAUGGGUUUCGAUUUUUUCUCUUUUGAUCCAAAUGAUCGAAUAUCCUUUUGAAAUUUAAAUGCAUGAGUUUUGAAAAUCAAAAGACAAGCUUAUUCUCGAAAAUUUAAAAUGCCGUGUCCUAACAUGUUGGAUGUGACGUUUAAUUACUUCGAGAUAAGAAGGUCUUUAGCAUGCGCUUCGAUUUAUUCAAAUAUUUUUUUAAAGCGAACAAUCAUAAAAAGGGUUCGUAAAAAAUUGAAACAAGGCAAUAUUCCGUGUUUGGAAAUUUUGAGAAAUCGUGCCCUACAUGCUGGGUUUCAAUUUAUCGUUUGACUGAACAACCGGAUUUCCUUUUUAAAACUUCAAUGCAUGAGUUUUGUAAAUCAUGAGAUGAUUUUGAUAUCAAAGGUUCGAAAUGUCGUGUCCUACGUGCUGGAUGUGAUAUUUUAUUUCUUCGGAACAAGAGAAUCUUAAUAUCCACCUCGAGUUAUCCAAACAUUCAUAAAAGGGGAUCAUAUUUCAAAAUUUAUUUUAAAUCUUUUCAAUUUUCAACAUUAAGAUAUUAAUUAAUCAAUUAGGUACCAAUUUUGGGCGUUACGAGGGUGCUAAUCCUUCCUCGUACGUAACCGACUCCCGAACCCGUUUUCUUAAAUUUUGAAGACCAAAAUCGUUGUUUUAGUAAACCAAAUUGUUUUAUUUAAACAACCAAACUUCUUGGUGAUCCGAUCACACCUAAACAAAAAACGAUUGGUGGCGACUCCCAAUUUUCGUUUUUACUUUCAAAACCAAAGUCAAUCCCCGUUUUUCAAAAAAAUGGUUUCGACAGGUUCCAAUUGAAAAUCAGAGCUAAUGGGAGGGAUCAAUUGCACAAAUUAACCAUCUGCAGCAAAUAACCAAACAUUUCCCCUUGAAACGGCGUUGUUUCUUCCCUUUUAUAAAACCAAACAUUUCCUUCAAAAAAACAAAGAAAACAAUUGGCCCCUUUUAAAAUAACCCUAGCCCUUUUUAUUUCCCCAUAGUUUUCUCCUCUUUGGGUCCUCUGUUCGGCCAAGUUUGGUGCACUUACCACCACAAUGAAUCAAAAAGAGAGCCUCGAUCCCGAUCGGAUUUGGUUUUAACGAAGAAGAACCCCGACGUCCUACCAAUCAAUCAGGUAAGUCUCCCUCUUAUCUCUACGUACUAGGUUUCGAUUUACCGUUUGACCGAACAACCGAAUAUCCGUUUUAAAACUUCAAUGCAUGAGUUUUGUAAAUCAUGAAAUGAUUUUGGUAUCCAAGGUUUGAAAUGUCAUGUCUUACGUGCUGGAUGUGAUAUUUUAUUUCUUCGGAACAAGAGAAUCUUAAUAUCCACCUUGAGUUAUCCAAACAUUCAUAAAAAGGGAUCACAUUUCAAAAUUUAUUUUAAAUAUUUUCAAUUUUUCACAUUAAGAAAUUAAUUAAUCAAUUAGGUACCAAUUUUGGGCGUUACGAGGGUGCUAAUCAUUCCUCGUACGUAAUCAACUCCCGAACUCGUUUUCUCAAAUUUCGUUGACCAAAAUCGUUGUUUUAGUAAACCAAAAUAUUUUAUUUAAACGACCAAACUUCUUGGUGAUCCGAUCACACCUAAACAAAAAACAAUUGGUGGCAACUCCCAAUUUUCGUUUUUGCUUUCAAAACCAAAGUCGAUUCCCAUUUUUCAAAAAAAUGGUUUCGACAGCUUGGCGACUCCACUGGGGAAUUUGAGAGUCGAGCCAUAAAUUGAUUGAUUUUAGUCCUUUGUCGAAAAUUGAAAACUCAUUUUAAACUUAUGAUCCCUUCAGUGCAUUUCAUUCGGUUUUCUUAUGGUUUUCAUUAUUUUUCCUAUUUUCUUUAUUGCUUCGAGUUUUUCUUAUGCAUAUAUCCUCACACAUUGCAUUGCAUGACCGCUGUGGUCACACCUUUUAAGUGGGAGUGAGAAGCUAUGCCUUCGUGAGGUUUUCACCUCCGCAUAGGCUAGUGGAUUGCUUCUGGGAUACAUCCGUACCUAUGAUUUUAUGAGAUUUUCAUCUCUGCAUGGUCAUAGGGAAAUGUAUUCCCUUGAACUGAACUCGAUCCAUAUGAUCCUAUAAUGGGUGAGAAUCGGGGAAUCUGCUGGUUCGGGUACCCUUACUCUAGAACUGAGCCACAUAUAGAAAGAACUAGGAGCUUACCCUAGGUAGAGCCACUCCGAACGCCUAGUGGUCACCCGAAUAGGUGCUUUAUUUGUUAUUUAUUUCUCCUGUACUAAGUUGUUUUGUUUUUGUUUUGUUUAUAACUGCAUUGCAUUACAUCAUCAUAGAAAGGAGGUGUUGAUUCAUAUUUGAUUACUAAAUAGAACAGUUUGUCAUAAGAAAACGAAUUUCUUGAUAAAGUGGAUUAUAACGCGGUUGUCUAAAUAUGGUCCAAGUAAACACGAAGAAAGAAGGCUGAUAGCCCAUGAAGAAAUACAUGACUUUAUUUUAUUGCCCGAGGAUUAAAAUCAAUAAAGAUUAUUCAAGAGCCGUCACGUCUUGACUUUCUUAAAGGAGCUGACAAGUAUCGUGGGGAUAAGUGAACAACGAGUCGCAGCCUGGAUCAAGCAAAAAGGAGUUCAGGGGGAUGUCUUUUGGAAAAUUCACAAGACUCGACCAUAACAUCCGGAUAUGAAGAGGAAGAUAGGUGUCUUCACUUGAAAUAUGAGAUAAAGGCCAUAUAUGUAAUCCGUUUUAUGUAAAGAAAUUUGUUUUCUAGAAAAGUUGUUCUAAUGAAAUUGAAUUCAGAAUCAACGCCUUCCUUUCUUUUGCAUUCAUUCCAUGAAUUUGCAUUGCAUUGCAUUAUUUGCAUUAAACUUUCAUUAAAAGACCCUAAUUAGGUAAAAUUAUUUCAGAACCAACAAAGGAUAUGGACAAAAGGUUGGAGAGAAUAGAGCAAAUGCAAAUAUAGAUGCAAUAGCAAUUGACCAAAAUUCAACAAGAUAUAUGAGAACAAAUGCUAGAACUCCAAAGAAAUAUGAUGGGCCAGUUAACCCAAUUACUGGCUGAAGAACUUGAAAAAAGGAGUGGCCCAGUGGUCAAUAGUGAGGAGGAUAAUGAAGACAUCGUCUAUUCCCCAUGUUUUACCCCAAUAAGCGUCCUGAACCAACCAGACAUGCAAGAGGUACCCGUCAUUAUCGGACCCCAAUAUCAGGCUGAUGCCUCGGCACUGUUGAACUUCCCGAUGGGUUCAAGUUUUAACCCAAAAAAUGAUCGAGCCAAACCAGUUAUUUUGGCAAAAACAAAGGAAAUGGGAGGGUGGACUUUAAAGGCCCUAGAGAAGAAGGAAAAGGAAGCAAAUAAUGUGAGUGGGUAUAACAAGGGCUAUUCGAAGCUGGUUAUAGUAAGCAAGCCAAGGACGACAACUAUUGGCCAUCAGGUCGCCCCAAGGCAAGAACCCAAUCCAAGACUGAACUCAGAAAAACCCAAAUUCGCGCCCAUCCCAAUCACGUAUAAGGAGUUGUACCAAAUUUUGUUUGACUCACAUGUUGUAUCCCCUUUUAUGUAGAACCAAUACAACCUCCAUACCCUAAAUGGUACGGUGCAAGUGGCCAGUGUGAAUACCAUGCGGAAUCAUAGGGCAUUCGAUAGAGAAUUGCGUCACUUUUAAAAAGAUGAUCAAAAGACUCAUCAAUUUGGGUAUCGUAAAAUUCGAUGAUCCCUCUGGUGCAAAAAAUCUGUUACCCAACCUGUCUGUUAAAGGGGUAAAUCUGACUUCCAUGAUGGAUAGGGGCAUAAGAUCCAAGUGUACAUCGAGCUAAGGACUGUAGUGCAAGACUUGAUAUUGGGGAACCUGAACAUUAACGACGUAUCAGAAUAGGGAACCCGGGAAUAGAAUUUUACGAGCAUCUACCCUUACAUACUUGGGAGUGUUUUGAACCAUGAGACCGUGGAAGAGACCUCUGUAUUUUUAGAGCUAAUCUAGAGUAACAUUCAAAACACGCUUGUUACUUUAAGCCUAGAAGCAAUAAGAAUCCUUUUGUGAAAUAGGCUUAUAUCCAAAAUCUUUAUUUCAAUAAAAUGCAUGUUUUUUUAUCAUUUUGAGUAAAUAUUCUUUUAUUCUUUCAAUUUCAUACCGUACAAACAAUUAUUCUUAAAUUAUUCUAUUUUUUGGACAAUCUUUCAAAUAUUUUCAUUCAUGAUCAUACCAUACAAAUAAUCAUCCUUAGAAUCAUUUAUUCUUUGGCAUCUGCCUUCAAUAGGUCCCCAGAUAUCAACGACAUGAAUGACGUUGCUACUGAACCAGAAUCUCCUUUUAAGUGAGAUAUAUGUCUUGAGGGAUCUCAGGACUUGGAAGAUGACAGAGAUUGUAACAUAUCUCCUGAUUUGUUAAGGAUGGUAGAGUAAGAUGAAAACAGAUCCUACCUUACGAGGAGUCAAUGAACAGUAGGCCUAACAGAAGAGAAAAGGUAAGGAUCGAAGCUUGUGUUACCGCAAAGACAAAAUAAAGCAUUCAUAUCAAGAUAUACCUGGGCUACUAAGACCUGUGGAUGCUGUUAAAAGAGGUCCCUAAGCAUGUCAGAAAGACAUAUACUAAUGGCCAGGCUAAUCAUGAGAUUCGAAUUCUACUGGUCGAACGUAGAAGGGAAUUGCAUCAGUUAUGCCGUAAAUGCUAAAUUUAUGGAGAUAAGAUUCGUGUGCCCCUUCAUUUCUUCGUAGACUUUCUCUAUGUAGGGCAUAGAGGUUAUGGGCCGAUCUCUUUGAAAGCUUCAAACCGAUACUGAUUCGUCUUUGGGGUCGUCGAUUACUACGUGAAAAGGGUGAAAGUUGUUUCAUGUGCCAAUGUCACUAAGUCGACAAUCAUCAAGUUCCAAGAAAAAGGAAAAAAGGUGCCAACAAAGAAUGCCAGAAAGGAUCAUGCCUAACACAACUGCAUAAUGUUAAGAGUUUGCAGUCUAUUCAAAGAUUAGGCGCCAUAUUGCAGUGCAGCAAAGGCAGCAAACAAAAAACUAAGGAUCAUGGGGAAGAUAACUGAGACUUGUAAAGAUUGGCAUAAGAAAUCACCAUUUAUCCACUAUGUUUGUCGAACAUCGGCAAGGACCUUAGCCGGGGCAACACAUUGCUCAUUAGUUUAUGGAAUAGAAGCGCUUCCGUCCAUUGAAGAUGAGAUUACUUUUCUCUGAGUCUUGUCAAAACUGAAAUUGGAUGAAGCAGAAUAGAUCCAGCAAACUUAAGAAAAGAGGUUGAAAGUUACCCAUCAUGGUCAAGCAUACCAAAAAUGAAGGAUGCAAGCUUACAAUAAAAAGGUUCGCACUAGAGAAUUCCAUGAGGGAAACUUUAUGUUGAAAAAGAUCCUUUUUAUACAAAAGGACUUAAGAGGAAAGUGGACGUCAAGCUGGGAAGGACCUUAUAUAGUGAAGAAGGCCUGUUCUAGAGGAGCAUUUCGAAAUGGAUAGUAAAAUAAAAAAUAAAAACUUGCCCAAUCUUGUGAAUUCAGAUUUAGUCAAGAAGUUUUUCACCUAGAAAGUGAAAGGCCAAGGCAAAAACCUACAAAUGACCCUUUGAAACCUUCAAAAAAAAAGAAGAAGAAAAGAAAAGAAAAAUGAGAGGCCAAGGCGAAAACCUGCAAAGGGCGCCUUGAGACCAAAGGGGAUUUGAGUUGAAAACCCAAAAAGGGCGGCUCAAAUUUUGAUCAAAGUGGGGCAUACAGCAGUCUUGCUAUGCCUGAAUUAACAAUGAAAAAGUAUGCUACGUCUUGGGGCAUCGACAAAGUACUCCAGAUCCCCUAAACACAUAUUGAGCUCAGAAAGGUCCUCAAGAAGUUGGUACAAAGAAGCUCAAGCUGCGAUAUCUGGGGCACCUAGUUUCCAUUUUGCCCAUUUUGAGUUUUUUAUCUUUGAUUACCUUAUUCUUUGCAAGAUAUGUCCCAAUAAACUUCCUUCUUAUUGCAUUUCUAUCUUUGAUAAACUUAUUCAUGUUGAGUUAAUUGCUUUCUUAUUGCAUUUACAAUCUUUGAUUAAUUUAUUUAUUUCGAGCUACGCUCCUAAUCAAUUUUCUUCUUGUCCAUUGUUUUGAUCUUUUUCAAGCAUUUUGCAUUGAAAUAACGAUUAAUGGACUAAUAAUACCUUCACAAAAGGGGUUCUGCAUAUUACUCUGGAAACUUAGUAUAGGAACCUAAAACCAGACCAUUAUUCAGAACCCACCAAGCCCAAGGGUUGGAAAUAUUUAAGCCCAAAUUGAAGUUAUCUCCUUAGGUUUUCUGUCAAAGAUAUUGGUUGAGCAAAAAGAAAUUACAUUGGUGUUAUAAUCCUGGCAAAGAAAGAGCAAUGGGAUUAUUCUCGAAAAAAAGAAUGGUAUUUUGUAUUCAUGCAGAUAUCAGGCAUACAUCUGUUCAUUACACCUAGGGAAUGGUGUAACAGAUUAAAUUGAUUGAAGAUGAUGCAAAUCCUAUACCUCUGAGUAGCAGCAGGAUGGAUAGAAAAAAUCAAAUGAUUAUUCCCCUGAAGUUGCAGUGGGGAGUUCAAACUUUAUGUCUCAGAAGGUACAGUGGAAGAGAUUGUGAAACUAUAGUGGAGGCAAGCCGGUUGAGCAAAGUGAGUUGUUUCUGUGAGCUUUCCUUGAAAAUGCUAGUCGAGCAAGAAGGUAGCAUAAUACGACAAUGAUAAAACUCUGAUGAAUAACGACUGAUGACACUUUAAGAUUUUAAAAAGGAAUCAUUCUCAUGACAUUUCUACAUUCAUAUAAUAAUACAUCUAGUUAGGAGCAUUUGAUUCAUUUCGAUCAUAGCAUCCUAAUUAUUUGACAUAAGCAUCAUAUCUAGUUAGGAGCAUUUGAUUCAUUUCAAUCAUAGCAUCCUAAUUAUUUGGCAUAAGCAUAGAUACAUGAAACUGAUUUUACAGAUUAUGUUCCUUAGAGGACAGUGCAGUGGAAUCAGUGAAUUCACAAGCCUUAUCUCCCUAAGCAGUAGUGGAGUAGGCUGAAGAUUGUAGGUAUUGUCUCCCUGAAGUUACAGUGGAGCAGAUCAAAGAUGGUGAAUCUUGUCUUCCUAAAGUUGCAGUGAAGAAGAUUUAAGCAACCAUCCUAUCUUCCUAAGUUGUAGUGGAGUAGGCUGAAGAUUGUAGAUCUUGUCUCCCUGAAGUUGCAAUGGAGCAGAUCGAAGACAGUGGAUCUUGUCUUCCUGAAGUUGCAGUGAAGCAGAUUUAAGCCACCAUCUUAUCUCCCUAAGUUGUAGUGGAGUAGGCUGAAGAUUGCAGAUCUUGUCUCCCUGAAGUUACAGUGGAAUAGAUCGAAGACAGCGAAUCUUGUCUCUCUGAAGUUGCAGUGGAGCAGAUUUAAGCCAACAUCCUAUCUCCCUAAGCAGUAGUGGAGUAGGCUGAAGAUUGCAAAUCUUGUCUCCCUGAAGUUGCAGUGGAACAGAUCGAAGACGGCAAAUCUUGUCUCUCUGAAAUUGCAAUGAAGCAAAUUUAAGCCACCAUCCUAUCUCCCUAAGCAGUAGUGGAGCAAGUUGAAAUUACAAGUCUUAUCUCCCUAAAGUUGCGGUGGAGCACAUUAAAGAUAGCAAAUCUUAUCUCCUUGAUGUUCCAGUGGAGCAAGUUGAAGUUACAAAUCGUAUCUCUCUAAAGUUGCAGUGGGGCAGAUUGAAGAUGUGAAUUGAAUCUCCCUGAAGUUACAGUGGAGUAGAUCGAAGCACUAAUACCCCUGAAGAUGCAUUGGGAUAGAAUGAAGCUACUUGAAGAAAAGAAGUACCAAUAGAAGUCGAGACUUAGCAGGUCCAGGUAAAAUUGGCCCUUUUAUGGUCUUUGCUCUAUUCCCGUUGCACAAUAAUGAGCAAAGAGGGGCAGCUAUAACAGGCCUCUUUUGCCCGGCCCGAGCCUAAACUAACCAAAAAAAACAAAAUCUAAAAAAUAAUAAUAAUAACAAAAGUCCAUUAUUACAAGGUCCAAAUUACAAAACAGGCUACAGGCCCGAUACCCAAGUUACAAGCAUGGACUCAAAACUCACUACCAAUUUUGCAAAUCCUAAGCCCAUCCUGAAAACUUAACAUUUUCGGAGGAACCCUAGGGUUCCCCUCUCUAGUGCCAUAACUCCCCCCACGUGCCUCGAGCGCUCUACCCACGCCUUGUCCCGAGGCCUGACCCCUUUUACUCAGCCUUGCACCGAAAUGGCAAGGUCUCUUCUCCAUUGACCAAGCAAAACCUGCAAAGAACACAAAAACAGAAACAAAGCAGAGAAAUGGCAGUAAGCAAAUAAAAGUAACCAAAUAGUAAAAUAGGAGUGUAACCAGCUAUAAAGCCAGAGGAGAAAAUCAAUUGUAAUGGGGGGUUCUUUUUUUUAAAUACAAAAAUUGUAUUACACAUAUAUUUUCAGAGAAAUCGAAAGCAGAAAAGAAGAAAAAAGGUGUUUGCUCUCUUUUUUUUUUGAUCUUUUUAUUUUCGAUUUUUCUAUUUGCUUUUAUUUUUAUUUAUUUUGCAAAUCUUUUUUAACAAAAAAAGCUUGAAAUAAAUAAAAAAAGGGAGGGGAAAGGGAACUUACCGAAUCGCGUUGCCGGAACUCCUCUCUAAGUCGUCGAGUUCGAACUCCAAAGGGAAAGGGGGAAGCCUCCCGAUCUCGAUUGCCCAAGCCUUAAAGGCUUGGCCUUCAAAUGCGGCUUAAUCAAGGGCGAAAAAGCCCUUUUUUGUUCCCACAACCACCGUCCACGGUGGAGGGGUAAAUGACCGACGGCGGCGCAAAGGCUAGGGUUCAAAACCCUAGCAAAGAAAAAGAAGGGAUGGUUCCAUUUUUUUUUAAAAAGGCUGAAGGAAUAAUUUUUUUUGUUGAAAAAUUGGCUUUAAUAAGGGGACCAUACGACGUUGUUUUGGGCUCUAGUUUUAGGCACCAAAAUGGCGUCUUUUUACAUAAAACGGGUCGACCCGACCCUUAACCAUGGGAUCCAUGUGUUUCUGCAAAAUGGGCUAUUUGGCCUUUUAGUCCUUCUGCCUCUUAAUUACUCCACAAUUCAAUUUUCUUUAUUUUUUAAUUUGGCCCGAUGAUUUCACUUUUAUUUCAUUUUAAUCCUGCAUGAGGUGCAGCGUUUUGAAGGGCGGGGAUAUUUUCCCUUUGGUCCUUCCACUUUGUUCGCGCGUUCAGUGUUAGCCCCUUCCUUUUUUUAUUUUUCACGAUUUAUCCCCUUUAACCUCAUUUAGUUUCAAUUCAGUCUUUAUUUGUUAUUUUUCUUAUAAUCUAGGCACUAAAUUUCAUUUCAAAUCUUGAUUUAAUCCUUUAUUCAUUUAAUUUCAACCUUUAUAGAUUGUCAUGUUAUGUUUUAUUUGUUUAUUCAUAUAUCCAUGUAUUUAUUUAUUUCUUUAUACGUUCAUUUCAUAUUUUAAAUUUAUAUUGUUAUGUGUUCUGUCAUUCAUAUGUGUCAUUAUUAUAACUAUUAUUAUUUUUAUUACUAUUAUUAUUAUUUUCAUCACUAUUAUUAUUUUUAUUUUAUUAUUAUUAUUACUAUUGUAUUACUACUACUAUUAUUAUUAUUAUAUUGUUUUCCCUUUUUGUAUUUACACAUAAGUUAUUAUUAUUAUAUCAAAUGAGUUAAUAUUAUUAUUUUAAAUACAUUUAUUUUAUAUUAUUAUUAUUAUCAUUAUUAUUAUCAUUAUUUUCAUCUCGUCUUUGCUAUUUUAUUAUUUUUCAUAUGUUAAAAUAUUUCUUACUUAAAAUUAUGUAUAUAUACUUUAUUUAUUUUUUAUAUACUUUAUGUAUAUAUACAUAUUAAAGUUCGCAAAGUUAAUGUUUUCUAUAAAUGAUUGUUGAUUCGUAUAUAUUCUUACUAUUAAAUUUUACUCAUAUUUUUGUUUAUCGUUUGCUCCCUUUUAUGUACAUGGUUUCAUUGUCCCAUUUAUUUUAAAAUAUUUUAUGUUGUGUUUGUUUGUUUUUACAUCAUGUAUCUCUGUCUUAUUUCUUUACUUAUUGGUUGAGAUUCGUUUACUAAUAUUGUAUCCACCUUUGUAAUUUUAUCACAUCAUAACAUUGUAUCACAUAUCGCAUAUCACUUUAAAUGUUGCUUUAAUUUUCACCAAAAUUCAUAAAAGAAAUUCUCUAAUAAAGGCAAUAUUCCGUGUUUGGGAAAUUCGAGAGAUCGUGCCCUAACGUGAUGGGUUUCGAUUUUUUCUCUUUUGAUCCAAAUGAUCGAAUAUCCUUUUGAAAUUUAAAUGCAUGAGUUUUGAAAAUCAAAAGACAAGCUUAUUCUCGAAAAUUUAAAAUGUCGUGUCCUAACAUGUUGGAUGUGACGUUUAAUUACUUCGAGAUAAGGUCUUUAGCAUCCGCUUCGAUUUAUUCAAAUAUUUUUUUAAAGCGAACAAUCAUAAAAAGGGUUCGUAAAAAAUUGAAACAAGGCAAUAUUCCGUGUUUGGAAAUUUCGAGAAAUCGUGCCCUACAUGCUGGGUUUCAAUUUAUCGUUUGACUGAACAACCGGAUUUCCUUUUUAAAACUUCAAUGCAUGAGUUUUGUAAAUCAUGAGAUGAUUUUGAUAUCAAAGGUUCGAAAUGUCGUGUCCUACGUGCUGGAUGUGAUAUUUUAUUUCUUCGGAACUAGAGAAUCUUAAUAUCCACCUCGAGUUAUCCAAACAUUCAUCAAAAGGGAAUCAUAUUUUAAAAUUUAUUUUAAAUCUUUUCAAUUUUCGACAUUAAGACAUUAAUUAAUCAAUUAGGUACCAAUUUUGGGCGUUACGAGGGUGCUAAUCCUUCCUCGUACGUAACCGACUCCCGAACCCGUUUUCUCAAAUUUCAAAGACCAAAAUCGUUGUUUUAGUAAACCAAAAUGUUUUAUUUAAACAACCAAACUUCUUGGUGAUCCGAUCACACCUAAACAAAAAACGAUUGGUGGCGACUCCCAAUUUUCGUUUUUGCUUUCAAAACCAAAGUCAAUCCCCGUUUUUCAAAAAAAUGGUUUCGACAGGUUCCAAUUGAAAAUCAGAGCUAAUGGGAGGGAUCAAUCGCACAAAUUAACCAUCUGCAGCAAAUAACCAAACAUUUCCCCUUGAAACGGCGUUGUUUCUUCCCUUUUAUAAAACCAAACAUUUCCUUCAAAAAAACAAAGAAAACAAUUGGCCCCUUUUAAAAUAACCCUAGCCCCUUUUAUUUCCCCAUAGUUUUCUCCUCUUUGGGUCCUCUGUUCGGCCAAGUUUGGUGCACUUACCACCACAAUGAAUCAAAAAGAGAGCCUCGAUCCCGAUCGGAUUUGGUUUUAACGAAGGAGAACCCCGACGUCCUACCAAUCAAUCAGGUGAGUCUCCCUCUUAUCCCUUUUUCUUUUUUUUUUUUUUGGAUGUAAUGAGAGGACCUUUCCGUCCAACCACUAAAGCUCCAUUGCAACCGACGAAUAGCACAAAAUCUCAAGACCUUGCCCUUUUAUUCCCGAAAUCCCCUUUGAACUUAGACUUCAACGAAGGAAAAUGGGUUCGUCGCAUCAAAAACAAACUAAGAUAAAAGAAUUAUCCAAAAAAUAAACGUAAUAACAAAUCAAAGAAUAGAAUCACCUUCUAACUUUUUGGAUCUUUUUUUUUAUUUCGUAUUCGUAUUAUGCGUUCGUAAGUUUUUUGCAAGUACAUUCGUCAGCUUUUAUAGUCGGAUUUACUGAGUAAAAUCAAAAAAUAAAAUUACAUUUUAUUGCUGUUAUUUGCUGUAGAUUCUGUUAUUCUCCUUCUCGUAUAUUCCAUUUGCAGGACAGGCCGUACACAAGCACAAGCAGAGACGCGCGUGAGAGGUUGGUGGCGCACGUGCGCUGCUCAUCCGAAUUGCUGGCUGCUGCGCGAGAGGGAGAAACCUUAGAGCUUUUAGAACAAUCACCUGGACCAGUUUUUGGGUCGUGUAUUGAAUGUGCUGGGACUUUGGGUUAUUUAAUUGGGUUUAGGAUUUAUGCAUUGGGUUUUAAAAAAUGUAUCUGGGCUGGACUGUAUAUAUAUUUUGGGUUAAAUAACUUGUAAAUGGACAUUGACUUAUUCUGGGCUGUUCAUUGUUUUUGUUUUUAUUUUUUGGUUUUUGGUUUUGUAUAGGCCCAGGCUAAUUGGGCCUAUUACAAAAACAUAUUAUCAAAUAAAGCUUAGCUUAACAAUCUUCCCCUUUUUGAUAUAACAAAAUAUUUGGUAAAUUUAUUUUUGAAUAAAUUGCUUUCCCUUAAUAAAAAUCAUUUU
rnacentral:lncRNA from 1 species